GGUUGGGUACGAGGACGCUCGGGAGGCCGUUCGACGUCUGUACCCGAAGCUUGAUCUCAGCAGCAUUGUUCUGUCGGAGUCAGAGGCCCCAGCUGUAGAGGAGACGGCCGACCCAGCAUCGGAAGGCCUCACCACCAGGGCGGAAGCCGAAGAAGACGCAGAGCAAGCCCCCGAAGAUCAAGCGGCCCCAACUACUGAAGCCAGAGUGGGUUCGCCGACCGUCCCUGACCGUCAUCCAG
rnacentral:lncRNA from 1 species